rnacentral:ncRNA from 1 species
CAUGGACCCGGUGCAAUUCCGGGUAGCUCUUCCGGCCGCCGAUCCACCGGACAAUC